UACGUAGGGUGCGAGCGUUAAUCGGAAUUACUGGGCGUAAAGCGUGCGCAGGCGGUCUGUUAAGACCGAUGUGAAAUCCCCGGGCUUAACCUGGGAACUGCAUUGGUGACUGGCAGGCUUUGAGUGUGGCAGAGGGGGGUAGGAUUCCACGUGUAGCAGUGAAAUGCGUAGAGAUGUGGAGGAAUACCGAUGGCGAAGGCAGCCCCCUGGGCCAACACUGACGCUCAUGCACGAAAGCGUGGGGAGCAAACAGG
rnacentral:rRNA from 1 species